GUAGGUAGAGAAGGUUUGCCUCCGGAAGCCCCCCGCAACGACAUAAAACAAGUGCCUGGUCCGCGCUUAAACAGCGCGGGCAACACCGUUCAAGUGCUGAGAGCGCCGGGAACCCCCCGGCGUAAUCAGCAGCCAGCUCGUUCGCGGCUGGUGCACAGAUCAUUCGACGGUGACCUUAUGGUUGAGACAUGACCGGUCCCCGGCCACAUGGCCCGGAGAACAACGGAACCUGCGGAAGGAUCAUUAUCGAGAGAAGGGGUCUAAUCGGCCCCACCUCUUUACCCGUGUCUAUCUACCUAUGUUGCUUUGGCGGGCCCGGGCUCGUCCCGGGGAGCUUUUCGCUCCUUUGUGCCCGCCGAAAGCCUCAAUCAAUUCUGUUAUCAGUGUCGUCCGAGUAAACAUAUAAUAGUUAAAACUUUCAACAACGGAUCUCUUGGUUCUG
rnacentral:misc_RNA from 1 species